ensembl:lncRNA
CCCAAGGAUCCAAGAGCAUGAAAUAUGCAUCGAGAGUGAAGGUCUUUGGUCUGAAGAGGAGCUCAUAGAGUAAAAGAAGAUGUCUGAUGUUUACUGAUGCAUUCCUACGCAAAAGGAGAAGGCGGAUGUCCUAUUCCUUAUUUCAUUUUACAACAGUUCCAGUCCCAGAGAGCCAGAGCCAAUUAGGGGGCCUCAGCAAACUUCCAAAGUUGCAAGGCAUUUUAAAACAUCAAAACAUGAAUGUCCAGAAUAAAGGGGGGAAAGAUGAGAAGAAUUUCUCUGAAUAGCUGCAGAAAUGAAUCAAUUGUGAGUCAGUCCUUCUGUCAUGCCUUUCUGGUAUCUUCAACCUCUGUUAAGAUUAUAAUUCAAUAAACGAUUGGAGAGCUGUGAUGUUUGUAAUUACAUGCUUUGUGAUUUAGUAUUUUCUAUAUAUCUCUAUCCUGAUGUCUAAACCCAACCCCCCACAGGUCUUUCUGAAUACAUAAAAUGAUUAUCUGUCAUCCCAGAGCUUUGCUGAACUUGCAUUUUAUUUGUAAGCCAGGCUUUACACAUUCAAAUUCAAGUUUUAUACACUGUCAAAUGGAAAGAAACCUGGUCAGAGAUGCAGAGAUUAUGGAAGCAGUUGUUUACAGCAGUUUAGGAGAUGUACUGUAGCACUAUCUGUGUUGUAGCUUCAUAAAGUGAACACAUUCUGAA